GCGAACCAAGUCCCGCGGAAACGUCGCUCGCGGCGCGCGGCCCCGGGGAUGCGACCCGGGGGCGCGCGUCCCGACGAGCUCCGAACGAAACCCUCCGGGCGCGGCGAGCGCCAAGGAAUAGAAGCGGAAAGGGCGGCCGCCCCACCCCGUGGGGAUCCGCCGCCCGUCUGUGAAUCUCUCAGACGACUCUCGGCAACGGAUAUCUCGGCUCUCGCAUCGAUGAAGAACGUAGCGAAAUGCGAUACUUGGUGUGAAUUGCAGAAUCCCGUGAACCAUCGAGUCUUUGAACGCAAGUUGCGCCCGAGGCCACUCGGCCGAGGGCACGCCUGCCUGGGCGUCACGCCACCCAUCGCCACCCCCCCACCACCCGCGGCAUUCCCAUGCCCGGCCGGGGGUGCGGAGACUGGCCGUCCGUGCCCGAGUCCUCGGCGCGCGGUCGGCAGAAAAGGAGGACACCGUGCGGCGGGACACGGCGUGUGGGGGUUGAGAGGCGAUUCGUCGCCGAUCGUACGUCGCGCCCGCAGUCCGCCGCUCGCAGUGUCGCCCGAGGGACCAGACCCGCCCGCAGCCGCGGGCGCUCGGACCGCGACCCCAGGUCAGGCGUGGCCACCCGCUGAAUUUAAGCAUAUCAAUAAGC
rnacentral:rRNA from 1 species